UCCUAGCCCUGAUAGCAGCGGUAUCCUUUUUGUUUUUUCUUUAAAAACAAAAAGAUAUAGCGGAUAGCAGGAAAUUGC
rnacentral:sRNA from 1 species